AUUGAACGCUGGCGGUAGGCCUAACACAUGCAAGUCGAACGAGUGGCGGACGGGUGAGUAAUGUCUGGGAAACUGCCUGAUGGAGGGGGAUAACUACUGGAAAUGGUAGCUAAUACCGCAUACCAUCAGAUGUGCCCAGAUGGGAUUAGCUAGUUGGUGGGGUAAAGGCGCACCUAGGCGACGAUCCCUAGCUGGUCUGAGAGGAUGACCAGCCACACUGGAACUGAGACACGGUCCAGACUCCUACGGGAGGCAGCAGUGGGGAAUAUUGCACAAUGGGCGAAAGCCUGAUGCAGCCAUGCCGCGUGUAUGAAGAAGGCCUUCGGGUUGUAAAGUACUUUCAGCGGGGAGGCGUUACCCGCAGAAGAAGCACCGGCUAACUCCGUGCCAGCAGCCGCGGUAAUAC
rnacentral:rRNA from 1 species